UGCUGGUGUUUUCGUGUUGCUCCGCGGCCGUCACAAUGUUCUGGAAGUUUGACUUGAACACCACGUCCCACGUUGACAAGCUGCUGGACAAGGAGCAUGUGACGCUGCAGGAGUUAAUGGAUGAAGAUGACAUCUUGCAGGAGUGUAAGGCUCAGAACCAGAAGCUGCUGGAUUUCCUGUGCAGGCAGCAGUGCAUGGAGGAGCUGGUGAGCCUCAUCACACAGGAUCCGCCCCUGGACAUGGAGGAGAAGGUCCGCUUCAAAUAUCCAAACACAGCCUGUGAGCUUCUGACUUGUGAUGUGCCACAGAUCAGCGACCGCCUCGGUGGGGACGAGAGCCUGCUGAGCCUCCUGUAUGACUUCCUGGACCAUGAGCCGCCUCUCAAUCCUCUGCUCGCCAGUUUUUUCAGCAAGACCAUUGGCAAUCUCAUUGCAAGAAAAACUGAACAGGUGAUUACAUUUUUGAAGAAGAAGGACAAGUUCAUCAGCCUGGUGUUGAAGCACAUCGGCACCUCAGCGCUUAUGGACCUGCUGCUGCGCCUGGUCAGCUGUGUGGAGCCAGCUGGGCUCCGGCAGGAAGUCCUGCAUUGGCUGAAGGAAGAGAAAGUCAUCCAGAGGCUUGUGGAGUUGAUCCACCCGAGCCAGGAUGAAGAUAGGCAGUCAAAUGCUUCUCAGACUCUCUGUGACAUAGUUAGGCUGGGCAGAGACCAGGGCAGUCAGCUGCAAGAGGCUCUGGAGCCAGACCCCCUCCUCACAGCGCUGGAGUCGCAGGACUGUGUGGAGCAGCUUCUGAAGAACAUGUUUGAUGGAGACCGGACAGAGAGUUGCCUCGUCAGCGGGACUCAGGUGUUACUCACCUUGCUGGAAACCAGGCGGGUUGGGACAGAGGGCUUGGUGGACUCCUUUUCUCAGGGACUGGAAAGGUCAUACACUGUCAGCAGCAGUGUACUACACGGCAUCGAGCCUCGGCUGAAGGACUUCCACCAGCUCCUGCUCAACCCGCCCAAGAAGAAAGCGAUCCUGACCACCAUUGGUGUGCUGGAGGAGCCCCUGGGGAAUGCCCGUCUGCAUGGCGCCCGCCUCAUGGCAGCACUGCUGCACACAAACACACCCAGCAUCAACCAGGAGCUCUGCCGGCUCAACACCAUGGACUUACUGCUGGACUUGUUCUUUAAGUACACCUGGAAUAACUUUCUGCACUUCCAAGUGGAACUCUGCAUAGCCGCUAUUCUCUCCCACGCUGCCCGCGAGGACAGGACAGAAGCCAGCGGGUCCGAGAGCAGGGCGGAGCCUCUGCAUGAGAACGGGAACCGGAGCCUGGAGACCCCCCAGCCUCCCACCAGCCUCCCUGAUAACACAAUGGUGACCCACCUGUUCCAGAAGUGCUGCCUGGUGCAGAGGAUCCUGGAGGCCUGGGAAGCCAACGACCACACACAGGCAGCGGGUGGCAUGAGACGUGGGAACAUGGGCCACCUCACACGGAUCGCCAACGCGGUGGUGCAGAACCUGGAGCGGGGCCCUGUGCAGACGCACAUCAGCGAGGUCAUCCGAGGGCUCCCUGCGGAUUGCCGUGGCCGCUGGGAGAGCUUCGUGGAGGAGACACUGACAGAGACGAACCGCAGGAAUGCUGUGGACCUGGUGAGCACUCACCACCUUCACUCCUCGAGUGAGGACGAGGACAUUGAGGGUGCUUUCCCUAACGAGCUGUCCCUUCAGCAGGCCUUCUCUGACUACCAGAUCCAGCAGAUGGCGGCCAGCUUUGUGGAUCAGUUUGGCUUCAAUGAUGAGGAGUUUGCAGACCAGGACGACAACAUCAAUGCCCCAUUUGACAGGAUCGCAGAGAUCAACUUCAACAUCGACGCUGACGAGGACAGUCCCAGCGCAGCUCUGUUUGAGGCCUGCUGCAGCGACCGCAUCCAGCCCUUUGAUGACGAUGAGGAUGAGGACAUCUGGGAGGACAGUGAUACUCGCUGUGCCACCCGGGUGAUGGCCAGAGCCAGGUUUGGAGCCCCCCAUGCUUCAGAGAGCUGCUCAAAGAAUGGCCCAGAGCGCGGAGGCCAGGACGGGAAGGCGAGCUCAGAAGCACACGGAGAUGCACCUGGGGCAGGUGCCCCCCCGGCCCCUGGGAAGAAGGCAGCCCCCCCUGUGGAGGGUGACUCAGAAGCAGGCGCCAUGUGGACGGCAGUGUUUGAGGAGCCAGCGAACUCGACACCCACAGCCCCAGGAGUGGUGAGGGACGUGGGUUCCAGCGUGUGGGCAGCUGGCACCUCAGCUCCAGAGGAGAAAGGCUGGGCCAAGUUCACCGACUUCCAGCCCUUCUGCUGCUCCGAGUCAGGGCCCAGGUGCAGCUCUCCAGUGGACACAGAACGCAGCCGGGCUGAGGGCAGCCGAAGCCAAGGCCCUGAGAAAGCCUUCAGCCCAGCUUCUCCAUGUGCCUGGAACGUGUGUGUCACCAGGAAGGCCCCCCUGCUGGCCUCUGACAGCAGCUCCUCCGUGGGCUCCGACAGCGAGGACGACUACCAGAAGGCAGCGAGUGCCGUGGACGCCGUGAGCAGGGGUCCCGGCCGGGAGGCCCCCCCGCUGCCCACAGUGGCCAGGACAGAGGAGGCUGUUGGCAGGAAGAAGGUCCCUGGCAUUCUUCAGUGAACAGAUACCACUCUGGCCUCUGGGGUCAGGGGGUGGGAGAUUAGCAGGAGGGCAGGACAGAUGGGGUAGAUGCCAGGGCCAGGUAAACCUAAGGGGGAGGGUAGGACUGGGCUUGAUGGGGGGAGGAGGGUGCACCUGGCAAGGGGACAGCUAUGCAAAGGCCCUGGGGCCUGAGCUCCCAGUAGGUCCAGGCAACAGUGGGGAGGUCCUUGGACUGGAUUUCUCUAGGAGGGGACAAGGUGCCUGUCACCUGGUGGUAUAUCCCAGUCCCUCCUGGCUCUGUGGUUGUGAAGGGCCUGCCUGGAGCAGGGUGAGGAUGCCCCCCAGCCUCACCGCCCAGUGCAGCUCAGCCUGCAUGCGUCCCACCUGUGCUGCCCUCCCCUCACAUGUGGAACAGGUCUGACACCUCAGAGCGUCUUGCUCGCUGACCCCCGGCAGUCCUGGAAGGUCUGUGUGGUACUGGGGCUCCGGGCAUCUCCCCCAGCCAAGCUGCAAGCUCAGCACCAGGCUGGCUCUCCCUGCCCUGUUGACCGGCAGGCCCCGUCUGUGCUCACAGCUUCUCCCCGUUUGGCCACCCUGUCCUCAGGGCAUCUGCAGCAAGUGGGGGGCAUAGCACGGGAACGGGGCCAAUGCCACAGCAGUGGAUGUCCUGAUGCCGAAGUCGCUGGGAAGCCCAGGCCAGAGCCCCUCGGGUUGAGAGUCAUACAGAGUUUCUGCGUGGGCUUCAGUCCUUCUUAGUCACUGAAAAUAAUUUUUUUUGUUUUGUUUUUGAGAUGGAGUCUUGCGCUGUUGCCCCGGCUGGAGUGGGUAUGAUCUCGGCUCACUGCAACCUCUGCCUCCCAGGAGAAUCACUUGAACCAGUGAGCUGAGAUUGCACCAUUGCACUCCAGCCUGGGCGUCAGAGACUAUGUCAACCAAAACAAACCUUUACCCACUUUUCCUAAACAACCCGUAAAAAACUUUGCUCUGAAAAGCGGGGAAUAUUAUUGUGCAAAGUAAGUUGCUUUUUUCCACGGGGCUGUCUGCAUAAAACUUGCCACACUUAGAGCUCUGCCUGCACCGUCCUGACGACCCAGCCUGCAGGUGAGCUUCCUCGCACCCCCACCUGACCUGAGCGCCCCUCGCCGGGUCAGACACUCAGUGUCCUCGCCCAGCAGGAGGCCAGAGGGCCCAUCUGCUGCUCGUGGCCAGGCUGGGCCUUGGGGUGCCUGACCCCCUCCAGAGCGAGCCCCUUAGAUACCCGGCAGGAUCCUCUCUCCCCUCCCGUCCCUCAGGCGGUUUCCCCACACUGCCCAGUGUAAGGCUGACGUUGAGAUCACGGCACAGGAGCCUCAGGGGCCCUUGGAGAAUGAGGCGCUUGAUGAGCAGGAUCUGAGCGCCGCCUGGAAGGAGGUUUGAGGUCAUCAGUGGACAGGCAGCUUGUCCCAGUACUUGGAACUCGGGGCCGCAGAGCUGCCUCGCUGGGCACAACCUGGGCCACCCCACAGAGGGCAGGAGUGGGAGGGGCCAAAGAUGGUGCUCCAGGCCACCUGGACCUUUUUGUCCAGCUGGUCCUUCGGCAUGCGUUGGGGUGGCACUGAGGGUGGGGGUGCCCAUAACCAGAGCCCAUGUCUGCCACGCAGGGCCGAGUGUCCUGACAGCCGGCUGUUAGACCCUGCCUGCCCCGCGCCAAAGGAAGUGACCGCUGCCCCAGCUGUGGCUGCUGUGGCCAUCACCACAGCAUUGAGCAAGGCUGGCCCCGCCAUACCCACCCCAGCAGUCUCUUCUGCAGUGGCCGUGGCGGUCCCCCUAGGGCCCAUCAUGGCAGUCACAACAGCCCCAGCCAUGAUGGCCACCCUGGGGACAGUGACAAAGGACAGGAAGACAGAUGCCCCGCCGGAAGGAGCUGCCUUAAAUGGCCCAGUGUGAUGCUGCUGCCGCCCGGCCACGGCCCGCCCUGGUCAGGCUGCAUCCUUAAUCGAGAAAACUACCUGGUGAUGCAAUCUUUUUUUUUUUUAAUUUAAUUUAAUUUUAAAAUAAAUGCUGCAUUGGUAAAGCUGGCAGUUGAAACCAGUUGGACGGCCCAGCUUGCGUCUCUUCUGCCUGAGUGGGCCUCUCAGGUCACUCGUGCCCUGCUGGAGGACAGAGGGGCACCUCAGCCACCCCCAGGCCCGGAGCACAGCAAUAAGGUCUGCCUGCAGGAGCCGGGUGGGGGUGGGGGGCAGGACCCUGAGAUGCCACCAGGAUCUGAUGGGCCAGGAAGGGCGUGGACUUGGAGGCUGUUUUUAGAGACUUUUUUAAAGAAUACAGAAGGAGCCAAGCUUUUUUGCACUUUGUAUCCAGCUGCAAGCUCAGGGCAGAGUCAAGGGCCUGGGCUGGGGACACCCGACUCACAGGAAUGCAUACGGGCCUCAGACCCUUGCAGCUGCCCAGUAGCCCUUGGAGCUGGCACUGAACCAGGCUGCAAGAUUUGACUGCCUUAAAAACACAAGGCCCUCUGGGCCUGGCAGGGAUGUCCCUGUGCCCAGCACAGGGUGCCUGGCGGGGGAGACCACAGGUAUGCAGGUGGGGGGGCCAUGGCUUGGCACUGGGGGCUUGAAGACUGGUUUCUAGCACUACUGGUCAUGGCCAUGUUGUCCUAAAAGGGUCCAGAAGAUUAUUUUACGUUGAGUCCAUUUUUAAUGUUCUGAUCACCUGACAGGGCACCCAAAACCCCCAACUCCCAAUAAAAGCCGUGACGUUCGG